rnacentral:rRNA from 1 species
AGCACCACGAACGGGUGGAGCUUGCGGUUUAAUUGGAUUCAACGCCGAAAUCUUACCGGGACCGACAGCAAUAUGAAGGCCAGGCUGAAGACUUUGCCGGAUUAGCUGAGAGGUGGUGCAUGGCCGUCGUCAGUUCGUACUGUGAAGCAUCCUGUUAAGUCAGGCAACGAGCGAGACCCACGCCCACAGUUGCCAGCGUACUCUCUGGAGUGACGGGUACACUGUGGGGACCGCCGCUGCUAAAGCGGAGGAAGGAAUGGGCAACGGUAGGUCAGUAUGCCCCGAAUAUCCCGGGCUACACGCGAGCUACAAUGGUUGGUACAAUGGGUAUCUACCCCGAAAGGGGACGGGAAUCUCCUAAAACCAAUCUUAGUUCGGAUUGAGGGCUGCAACUCGCCCUCAUGAAGCUGGAAUCCGUAGUAAUCGCGUUUCAACAGAACGCGGUCGAAUACCGUCCCUGCUCCUU